UGAGGGGAGCCCCAGGGGGCUUUUGGAUUUCCAAACCAAACUCUUGAGGUUUGGGAAAAAGGAUUGGUGAUUGGGAACCACGCACCCAUCCCCAACCCUAACAGCAAGUUCCCCUUCAUCAUGAAGCUGUGUUUCUCAUCCUCAAGACAUAUCCCCAACAAGAUGGCCGAGUGAAGAGCUCGCAGUACGACGGCAGCAGCAGCAGCGGUGGUGACCUGUCGUACCCGGGCCAUUUCAGUUGCUUCAUUGCUGCUUUAGUGACCUGCAGGGUACACCAGGGUUGUUGGCAGCCAGGCAGGGAAGAUCGGGGACUCGUUAACAUCUUGUUCCAUUGAUAACAUUCUUGAAGAGUGUUACCUGGAGGACCUGGAUGUUCACGAUCUCCAUGGGGUUGUUAGCAGCUCAGUGAGAUUGUUGGCAACUUUUGGGGAGGAAAUAUUGGCCAAUUUUUUGGGGUUGCUGUAUUAUUGUGACUGUGGGGAAUUAAUGAACAGCAGCUGGAUGAUGAUGAUGAUGAGAGAAAGAGAAAGAGAGAGAGAGAAAAAAGGACUGGGCUGUUUGGGUUUUUUGAGGGGUUUUUAGGGACAUUUCGCAGAAAUUUCUCCCCCCCCCCCCCCCCCCCCGCCACCCACCCAUGGGAGGAGGGGGGGUGGGGUGUUUUCUUCCCGCAAAUCCCUCAGGGACUCUUCACUGGCAAUGCCCCACUGGAGGCUCACUGCAGAUCAAAUUCAGGAAGCUUCAGUUUUUUUAUUUUUUUAUUCUUUUUUAUUUUUAUUUUUUUUCUUAUUAUUUGUACUUGGUAAAUAUUAUUAUUUGUAAAGGAGCUUUGAUGUAAUAAGUAUCAUCAUCAUCCCCCCCCCCCCUGCCCCCAUAAAAAAACAAAACAAAAACAAAAAAACAAACAACCCUCAGUCUUUUCUAUGGUGACUGUCAAGUGUUUUAUGCUUUGUAUUUUGUGAAAAUGAUAAAAAAAAAGUCUUGUAAAAUUAGUUAACAGUUUUAACCAGAUUUUACUGGGAAAUGAGGGAAAAGUUAUUUGGGAUUCUUGGGGUUCCCUUUGGCUUUAUUGUCAUGGAAAUAGCGGGUUCUUGACCUUUUUUUUUAGGGGAAAAUAAAAAUGUAAGUGGUAAUUUUAUGUCUAAUGUUUUCCUGAGGAGCCCAGCAGUUGUGGUAGGAUAAGUGCAGUAUAAACCCUCCUUGAGUUGGAAGCUUGGGCAGUACCCCACUGUCCGUCCUACGCUCUCUCUAUAUCACUAUUAUCAUUAUUCUGUAUCACAUGAGGAGGAGAAACCGGGUAAACUUUCAUUUGAUCAUUUAAGCAAA